GCUGCAGACCGCCUUGCUGAGGAGGUUCUGCAGCGCUGCAGGUUAUGGCUGGGAUUAUCCAGACACUGAGUUCAGAGACAUCCCCCUGUGCUUCCCGCAGUUCCUCUGUGGUAGACUGCUGCUUAUGGUGCUGACUGAUGACAACUUCAGGCUCAGCCCAGCAGGUCUGGUUCCUGUGUGUCAGACUUUGAAAACCUUUCAGCCAAUUGAUGAGCUUAAGAAGGGUCCAUUCAUGCUGCAAGUUCAAGUCCUGGAGUACCGGCACGUUGGUGCAGGGGUGGAGGUGGACAUCUGCAUCUCUGCCACGGCUCGAACCGGGUGCCCAGUGUGGGAGAGCAUCCUUACAUUGUUGUCCAAAUUCAAGCUCCACAAAGACACCAGAUGUUUCCCCAUGAAUGAAAACAAGAGUGGGCAACAAUCUGACCAACCAGAUGAGCCUGUGCCAGAAACCAUGAAGCAGGUAGAGGUCAGAGUUCCCUGGAGUUCUGGCCUGCAGUAUCUGUGGUCGCCCUGUGACUGCUCCCCCUAUGGGCUUAUCUCUCUACCAGCAAGGCUCUUUGGAUACAGGUCACAUACCACACCGAGUCUCUGGAUGCUGUCUGUCUGCUUGGCUGAAAUUGAAAAGCACAAGGGUGUUGAAGUCAUCACAGCUCCUGUCAGCAUCACAGCCCAGUUUAAGGAGCCUUUGUUGGUACCGGGCAAAGCAACAAUCACAUUUUGGGAGAAGAUUAAAGACGAGGGUCAGUCUUCUUUCCAAGGCCUCAACUUUCGCAUGCAGCAACAUGGUAGCAAAAUAUGUCACCUGGGGGAGGAAAGGGGGUGUGACAAAUCUCUUGUUUCUAGACAUCCAGACAGAGAGAGAAAUCAGUUUUCAGCAGCUGUACUGGAGAUCAGAGGGACAUGCACUGGGUUAUUCCACCUAUACCAUGUGAUUUUCUUUACAGGGACAUCUGGAGGGCUCAAGGUAAAAGCUUUUACAGAUAUCUGAAUUUAAGUGGAUUUUGGUGAAAACAGAUUUUAGCACAUAUGAUCCCGUAUCUGUUUUUGGGAAAUAACUGCUAAAUAGCAUAAUAGUCUAGUUAGUGUAUAUAGCAUUACAUGUGUUGAGUAGUAUUUAAUAUAUUUGCUAAAAAGUGCUCUUUGUUCACUCUACAAGAGGAACUUCUGCAUGAAAUAUGUCCCCUAAUAUUUAGCUAUUAAGUUAUUUAUAAGGUAAGUCUUACAGCAGAGUUCAUUUAAAAUAUAAGUUAGAUGACAGAAAUGUUGGCAUAAAGAAACCCAUUAGAGAGUAGAACAGUUAACAUGAAGUAUUUGAGAUACAACUGUGUAGUUUCUCUUCACCCUGCCACUGAUUUCCUUCUGCCACAGUUAAAGCUGUUGUGAUGUAGCCACUUCUUUCCUGUAGCCACCAAACCAAAGCAGUAAUGCAGCGAGUGUCUUUAAAUCGUAUCUAUUGUUCAUCUUCUGUUGCUCAGUCACCACCAUGAGCUGCAGUGAAGUACACUGACACUCAUUCGAACGUGUACAUUUAUGUUAUUACUCAUUUAUAGAGUCCCGAUUCUGUCACGCAUACAGUCCUAGUCAUAGAGUCAGUCAAGUGUAAGAAGGUCAGUCCGUUAAGCUCCUGUAUUACUGUAUCUUAACACAUCGGGCCUUUAACUCAUGUACUUAUUGUAAAUGUCUAGUUUCUCUUAAUGUAAUUAGGAAUUUAAAAAAUGGUGUUUAAAAAGUGUUUUAUAAAGCUAAAUUUAAACAUUGAAAUCCAAGAUGAAGCUCUGAAAUCCUGUUUCUGUCUGGUGAUGAGAAGGGAUGUGUGUGUGUUUGUGUGUGUGUUUUAAAUGAUGCACACACCCGUUCCUUGGUUAAAGCACUUUAGGAGAGUUCGCCUGUCUCCUUCUUCAAAGAGUUGAUCCCCAGGGAAUUAAGUUAUUUUUUGCUUCUUCUAAAAGUACUAGCUUCAUUUAUUUAUUCAUAGGGGCCAAUACUAAAUGUCAGCUUGUUCUCUGUUACCAGAUCACUGUUGUUCAUAAAAUAACUCCACUGCGCUCAUUGUUACCUGCUGACGUCCUUGUGUUAACUAGAAAUGUGAAAAAUAUUUAUACUGAACAUUUAUACCAGGGUUGGGGUAUAUAUGAGAAAUUGUCUGUCACUCAGUAUUUUUUAUUGAUAUAAUAACGAUUUACAGACAAGGGAAAUGUUAAAGGAAAAUUUUGAAAAAGAAAUAAUUAAAUGAGUCAGAAAACAUGGUGGAUGUAGAUGCUUCCAGAGAAAGCUCAAUGAAUGGUUAGAAUAUGAAAAUCCCUAGAGUUCGAUCAAUCUGGUUAGAAGUAACUGAUAGAUACAAUAGUAUAUAUUGACAGUCUGUCCUGAUGUGGUUGUUUCCCGAGUUUCCAUUUGGACUUUUAUUUUGGUUUCUGGUUUCCUUUUCCAGGCCUAUGUGUUUUUGGUAGCUUUAUUUCUCGAACAGGGAUUUCGUUGUUUUUGUGCCUGAGCCCUGGGAGAUCCAGGUGAAAUAAAUAUUCUUUUGUGUCCUGCAUUUGGGUCCUACGCCUGUCCUUCUCCAGCACACUACCGCACGUGACAGAGUCAUAACUUCCACCAUAAAGACCAUUUUCCAUUCACUUGUAAUUAUCAUGAAAUCUUUAACCUUAUAUGAAGGUUUGGUAUAUAAUACAAUGAGAAUGAGCUUUCACAAAAUCUUCUGAUUUGUUUUCAUGUAGCAAAGGAAAACACAUGGCGAGGCAAAGAAACAGCGACACUGCCAGCAUCCCUCUCUCCUCUCCGACAGGGAGCAUCGGUGUGGAGGUUUACCAUGAUUACCAGGAGGUGGAUUUUAUGAUGUAUCCUGAGAAUGGCCAUGUCACAGAGAACAGGAGAGACCAGGUCACCGGUCGAGAUCACACCGGCAAGAUGCCAGACAUCCGACAGUACAGCCUGAAUAACGAGGCUGUUCACAGGAACUCCACAUUAAUAAUGGGUUGGAGCAGCCUGGCCUCCUCAGGGCCAGAGGACGACUCCACAGACCCACAUGAGACCCUGACAGAGACUUCAACUCUGACGUUUGUGGACACCCAUCCCAUGGAGGAAUCAGCAGAGAAUCACAGUCUGCAUGGGGUGGGAAUGGUUUACCUCAAGGGGUUUGUGCUGAUAGAUGAUGAUGAUGAUGGAGACAUGUCGCUGAGAGAGAAAACAGUGACAGACAUGUCCAUCAUGGACGGAAGAGCUGCAGACCUGGUUUGUGGGAAGUUGUUGUCCACCUCUAGUGGCUCAGUAGAUUAUAAGGACAAAUCUCCUGCUUGUGACGCACCUCUACCCAAGGACGGAAAUGCACAUGGAAAGAAACACUGCUGUUUCUGCACCAUUUUAUGACCCAGAAGGAGGUCAUAUGUUGUCAACCUGCUGCAGACUGUGUAUUCAAGAUCAGGACUGUGAUGCUGACCUCUGUGUUCUGAGCACUCUAAUGAAACAUACUGGGCUGAGACACUCACAGCACAUUUACAGCUAUGAUGACUUGUUUUUUAUUCAAGAUUAAGAAACAUAGCGAGGGAUGGAUGGAUGUGAUGAAAUAUUGAUUCUGAUAAUGCAUGUUUCUGUAAUAUUUGAUCUGAAAGAAAGACUUUAUAAUACACCAGGACUGGAA
rnacentral:lncRNA from 1 species